rnacentral:tRNA from 1 species
GGUUAUGGCUCAGUGGUAGAGUGCCUGCCUAGCACUAGUGAGGCACUGGGUUGGAUCCCCAGAACCA